CCGCGGUAAUACGUAGGGUGCGAGCGUUAAUCGGAAUUACUGGGCGUAAAGGGUGCGCAGGCGGUUCUGUAAGUCAGAUGUGAAAUCCCCGGGCUUAACCUGGGAACUGCGUUUGAAACUACAGGACUAGAGUGUGGCAGAGGGGGGUGGAAUUCCAUGUGUAGCAGUGAAAUGCGUAGAGAUAUGGAAGAACAUCGAUGGCGAAGGCAGCCCCCUGGGUUAACACUAACGCUCAUGCACGAAAGCGUGG
rnacentral:rRNA from 1 species